rnacentral:rRNA from 1 species
CCUACGGGUGGCUGCAGUGGGGAAUCUUGCGCAAUGGGCGAAAGCCUGACGCAGCGACGCCGCGUGAGUGAUGAAGGCCUUCGGGUUGUAAAGCUCUGUGGAGGGGGACGAAUAAGGCAUGGCUAACAUCCAUGUCGAUGACGGUACCCCUUUAGCAAGCACCGGCUAACUCUGUGCCAGCAGCCGCGGUAAGACAGAGGGUGCAAACGUUGUUCGGAAUGACUGGGCGUAAAGCGCGUGUAGGCGGUUCUGCAAGUCGGGUGUGAAAGCCCUGG